UACAGAGGUCCCAAGCGUUGUUCGGAUUCACUGGGCGUAAAGGGUGCGUAGGCGGUCGGAUAAGUCUGAUGUGAAAUCUUCGAGCUCAACUCGGAAACUGCAUCGGAAACUAUUCGGCUGGAGGAUUGGAGGGGAGACUGGAAUUCUCGGUGUAGCAGUGAAAUGCGUAGAUAUCGAGAGGAACACCAGUGGCGAAGGCGGCAUCCUGGACCAACACUGACGCUGAGGAGCGAAAGCCAGGGGAGCAAACGGG
rnacentral:rRNA from 1 species